rnacentral:rRNA from 1 species
GAUGAACGCUGGCGGCGUGCUUAACACAUGCAAGUCGAACGGAAAGGCCCAAGCUUGCUUGGGUACUCGAGUGGCGAACGGGUGAGUAACACGUGGGUGAUCUGCCCUGCACUUCGGGAUAAGCCUGGGAAACUGGGUCUAAUACCGGAUAGGACGAUGGUUUGGAUGCCAUUGUGGAAAGUUUUUUCGGUGUGGGAUGAGCUCGCGGCCUAUCAGCUUGUUGGUGGGGUAAUGGCCUACCAAGGCGUCGACGGGUAGCCGGCCUGAGAGGGUGUACGGCCACAUUGGGACUGAGAUACGGCCCAGACUCCUACGGGAGGCAGCAGUGGGGAAUAUUGCACAAUGGGCGCAAGCCUGAUGCAGCGACGCCGCGUGGGGGAUGACGGCCUUCGGGUUGUAAACUCCUUUCGCUAGGGACGAAGCGUUUUUGUGACGGUACCUGGAGAAGAAGCACCGGCUGACUACGUG